rnacentral:tRNA from 2 species
GGUAGGGUGGCCGAGUGGUCUAAGGCGAAGGUUUGCUAAACCUUUGUCCCGAAAGGGACGCGCAGGUUCGAAUCCUGUCCCUACCG